UUGGUUUGUCUUAAAGCGCGAUCUAUUCUCACCUAUUCCCAAUCCACACUCCUCAUUCUCUGUUCUCCAUCUUCAGCUUCACCGGUGCUUUUGUUGCAUGCAUUUAAAGACUCCUGCCACUCCCUCUCAUCGUAUGCCUUGAGCAAAUUGCAUUUCUAACGCUGCACGCCUCCCUUCAAUGAAUGCAAGGGAUUGGAAUUUAUUCAUAAGAGUAGCAGCACUGUUGCUGAAGGGGCUAGGUUUUUGGGGCUUCCACAAUUAUCGGUAUUGGUUUGAACUCAAAUAAAUUUAAACAAAAUUAUUAUUGCAGUGUUUUUUUUUUUUUUUUUU